rnacentral:lncRNA from 1 species
CAAAGAUGGAUGAGGAUCUCCAGAACUUUUGGGAUGAAGAAAAAGGAAGCUGAGUUAGCUGAUAUGGUAUAUUCUGCUGAGAUCACCUGCCAAGGGUGAGGGGCUUGGGCUGAAGAAGCCUUUAGCUAAUCAAAACCUCCUGAAGUUUAAAGAGAUUGGAAUCCAGUUGGCAUGCUAUUAUCGCUUCAUCUCCGACUGAGGCAGCCAUUCAUGGUAACUCUCAGUCUUGAGGAUUCAACUUUGGCAGACAAGGGUCUCACAUUAACAACUGCAUUUUGCUAAAGUCAUGGUACAUGGGAACAAGGAGUUGUUGGCAGUAUGGCCCAAGAAAGACUUCAAGCUCCUUGAAGGAAGGCCACACAUCUCUCCGGUUCACCAGGAUGCCUGACAUGAGAAGAUUGCAAGCUUUUUCCGAUUCUGGCCCUCAACAUCAUUUCUUCAUGCUGCUCAUUCCUCCUUUUGUGUUUGGGGAGCCUUCUCCCAGCAGAGAUGACUAUGCUUCAUUCACUUCGAUGAUACAACAACUAAAUAGAAAACCAGAGAGAAAUCCAGACAAUCUUUUCUCCAAAGACGAUUGUCCCCCCAUGCUACCUCCACAAAAGGGAUUUUGCUAAAACAAUCUCUUUGACUAGAUCUGAUCAGCCAAAAUGAGAAGAGCCAAUUUCAGCAAGUUUAAAACAUGAUUUGUUCUUGGUACUUUUUAACUUUCCAUCUGUAUUUUUCAUUUUACUCAACUUCUCACCUGCUUUGAAUUUAUUUUAUCUUUCCAAAUUAUUCAUAUUUUUGUGAGCAACACAAUAAUUUCUGGCAUGAGGCAGGGAAUAAACAAAUGAACUAAAUAGCAAAGAGAAGUAUUCCAAUGUAACAUUUCUCAAACAUUUUCAUUUUCUCCACAAGUAUUUCUUGGGCAGGGUUAGGGAAAUUCUUUUUUCUGUUAAGAAUCACUAACCUACUGUAUAAAGUUACAAAUGAAAAUGAAGCAACCAAUAACCAAC